rnacentral:rRNA from 2 species
CUACGGGAGGCAGCAGUAGGGAAUCUUCCACAAUGGACGAAAGUCUGAUGGAGCAACGCCGCGUGAGUGAAGAAGGGUUUCGGCUCGUAAAGCUCUGUUGGUAGUGAAGAAAGAUAGAGGUAGUAACUGGCCUUUAUUUGACGGUAAUUACUUAGAAAGUCACGGCUAACUACGUGCCAGCAGCCGCGGUAAU